rnacentral:lncRNA from 1 species
AGCAGUGCACCAAGCCCUCCUCUUGGCAGGAAGCAGCAGACUAGAGCAAGUGAGGGAGAGUCGAAGCUGGCGGGGGGGUUUUCCCAGACAACAGCCUGUCCCGUGCUGCUCCCUGCCAGCCCCAAAUCAGGAGUCCCCCCACCCCCGCACCACCGUGUUUCUAGUCCUGAGAGUGAUGGGCUGGGGGAUGGAGCCUCUGAAAAUUCCACGAAGGUACUGCCCAGUUUUAGCAAUGAAAGUCCCACGUCACGGGAAACCUCUGAGUCCUGGACAAAUCAAGAUGACAUUUUCUAUGCAUAUGCAAGCAUGUCACCAGGAGCAGAGCACAGAGGGACAACACAGCUUUUGCGCUUCCAGCUGGCUCCCAUCAAGAAGUUAGAAGGGAGCCUGCAAACACAUUUCCUGCUAUCAUCUCUCCACCCCAGAAUGACUUUCCCUGGUAGAGCUGGGGGAGGGGAGGCGGGCAGCAGGCCCCCCAGGAGGCCCUGGGCAGGAAUAUUAAUACUCCAACUUCCCAGCACAAGAGGAGGGAGGAGGAGCGGCCACGGCGCAGUCCGGUCCUGGGGGCCCUGGAAGGUGGUUGCUGAGCAGCCCGUGGGAGGCACGGAUCCGCCAGCUCACGGCGGCAGGGGCCGCCCAAGUCCUAAUGAAAACACCUAGCUCCUGGCAGGGCGCAGCCGACACAUCGCCCUGCCUUCUCGGCCACCUGGGAGAGGAUGGGCGCCGCACGCGGAUACCCAACCUGCCGGGUUGUGCUCGCAGUGACAUCGCUUUUCUCCCGGCAAGUGCAUCCAUCUCGCUGGGUCUGGAUAGAUAACACAAUCUCUCUGCCCACACCCCAUUUGCUGGGAGACAGCCUGGGCUUCUCCAUUUUUUAUGGGCUCACUUAGCUUGGAGGAAAUCCAGAGGUCAAAGCCGGCGCAGACGCUCCAGUCACCUUGCCCGUCCGGGCGCGCAGCCAUUCCGAAACGGGCUCACCCACGGGGCCCUAAAUUACGGCGAUUACACUGCAAUUCGCAGCGCGAUAUUACUUUGAUACACUACCUGCUGCAGCUUGGCCCGGGAGGCGUGCAUUAUUUACCAGGGAGGCUGUCCGUACUGCGCACCAGAGCUGACAGCGCUCCGCGGGGUCCCUCCUGUCCCUACAGCCCCGCCUUCGCCCGCGGUGCGGGGUCUGGAGGCAGUGGGGCGGGGGCAGGGGGUCACUGGAGCAGCCCCGCUCUCUCGGAGUGACCGUUUCCUGAACGCAAUAUAGCCCGGAGAGGACCCAGUGGCGGAAGCGGCAGCUGGCGAUGAGGUUGGGGGUUAGUAGGUGGGAACAAGUGCUGAGCCCGCAGCUCCUCCUGGCUCUUAAGGACACCCAGACCCUCCUUAGCCGGCCUAUAAGGGCCCUUGUUGCGCGCGCGCAGGGACCCACACAGGGCCUGCCCAGGGGUGCAAGGCUGGUCCCUGGCCCCUGGCCAACUGUUAAAACGGCUAGCAGCCGGCUAACCCCACCGGCAGGCUCCAGGAUUUAGCCUGUGGCGGCUGGUGGCGGAGAUGGAGGGAACUCAGGCUACCCUCUUCCUCGGGCCCUGGAAGCUGCGUGCGCCUCAGCUGAGGCCUGAUUUCGCCGUGGCUGGGGGCUGGGGCCGGAGUUGGGCCCGGCUUCUCUCCGGCUCCCCCAUUACGGUUUGGCAUCAGCAUCUAGAUUGCAGGUUACUUCUGCUUUUAUCCAAAGCGGUCCUUAAGGGAGAUGGAGUUCUGAUUGAAAUCCAGUCAAUUGGCGCCGUGGCUCAGAGGGCCCAGCGUGAGCACACUUGUAGGGAAAUUGCCCUGGGUCUGAGAGGAGGGGCAGGGGUGGGGGAGGGAACAGGACCCGCAGGCCUGCUCUGGAGCCUGUGAACGCGCUGCUGCGAGGACUUUAGCGGAUGCGCUCAGGUCGGUAUCCGCGGGAGUCCUGGAGGGAAAUCCGCUCUCCUUCUCCAGCUCCCUGGGAUUGAUGGAACCAGAAACCUCAAGCAAGGGAUCCCCAGAGGUCACUGCGUCCAGUCUCCAGCCUCAGACAGUGUCUGGGUAGUGGAGGAGGGGCCGAGUCUGUGGGACCGAGCUGUCUGCUUUGGUGGGUGAAGGAGGGUGGACUUCUGGGGUCUGGGUUGAGAUGUGGAUUAGUUCCAGGACUAGUUCCUGUUACUCGUAGGCGGGGAGAGGUCAUGGUCCCUGCUGAACACAUCUGGCUGUGUUCAGUCCUGAACUGCCCUGGGCUCCUCAGCAGUGUGCACAGGGGUCUGGCCUCCAAAUUUCUUGUUAACAGCCCAUCAGGAGCUGGAGGAGCUGGCCUGGCCUUCAAGGUGUGGAGGGGUUCCUGGAAGGAAGCAGAUGGGCACACGGAGGAGAAGAAUGACAAAUCCAUGCUUCCCCAAUGCUGGGGAGAGAAUAUGGUGGUGGGGAGGAAGCAUGGAGACCAGAAGCAUUCCCGGGAAUGCUUCUGGAAGUAUCCCAGAAAUGUCAAGAGCUCAUUCUGCCAGCUCUUCCGGGGCCAGCAAAGAACAUACAUAUCAUUUCUCCAUCCACUUUGGGACCUGCCUGAGAUGAACAUAUGUUUUAAAAGGAAUCCCAAUUGCUGCAGGAGCAGAUGGUGCUACAGGGGCAGGCAAGGGCAGGAGAAAGGAUACUGGCUGGCAGUAGGGUAGGAGUCCUGGGCUCUGCCUCGCCCCUUCCUCUUACCAGCCGUGUGAGCUGUGUGGCUGCGGGCAAGUCACUCCCCGGCUCUGUGCUGCCCCAUUUUCCUUGUGAAGAAUGAGUGGGUCCCCUGUAGCAUGCAGGAUGAGCUGAGGCCUCACUCCCCUGCGGUGGAGAGGACAGAACACUCUCUCCAUCAGCAGGGAAGACAGAUUUUCCUAUUUAUUAGCCUGUUCAGCUGGCAGACACAGGGACUGUCCUCUAGGCCAUGGGGUGGGGAAGAGGGGGACAGAGCCCCACACCAGCCCCCGCUGUGUCCAUCCUCUGCCUGUGGCUGUUUGCCUGAUUGAUUUGUUUGGUGGCCUCCCUGGCUGGGAUUGGGUCCCUGUGUCCUCCUGCACAUUUGCCUCUGGUCCCUCUCUGUGUGGUCAGGAGGGGGAGCUCUAGGUGUAGGGGCGGAAGAGACUGGAACAUCUAUCCAUCACGGACUGACUCUUGGGCUUGGUAAGGAUCCUAACAACCACCGGGUCCACCUGCCACCUUGUGCUCCGGGCCCCUCCCCAGAAGCUCCCCCUGCAGUGGGAGGCUCACUGCCUCUCGCUGAGCCACUCCCAGAAAGUUCACCCUUUUCUGGAUCCCAAGUCGAGUCCCUUGUGUCAUCUCUCAUUCAUCCUAGCUCUUCUUGUUGGCCUAGGUGUGAACUCCAUGCCUACAGGACCACCCUUCAGAUAUUUCAGGGCAGCGAUCUUGUUCAUCCCCUACUCCACCUUCUUGGGGCAAAACCUGCCUAGUAUCCUCCCUGCUGCUUCCCAGUCCCCUCACACUCUAGCUCUGACAAGAAGUGAUUGAGCUUCCAGUCAGAUGUCAGAGGCCCUGGUCUCCAGGGAGCUUCUAGUCUGGGAGAUAGUCUUCCUAGGACCUAAAGAAUGAAUAACAAAAUCACACAGGCAUUUGGGACUGUUGGAUUUCCAACUGGUAUGGCUGCUGGUCUGGAAACCUCCUCAGAGGUGAGUGGGUUUAGUCGUCUUCCAUGUAGAGAAGUCUUCCUGUUCUCUCUGAAACAGCUAUGCUCCCCCUCCUCAGAGACUGUGGGACUACUGGGUGCUCCGAUGGCGCUGGUGCCUGCUCCGGAGAGAAGUGGGAGAGAAUACUUUCCAGUUCUUCCCACCUCCAUCCCCAUCCAUCCUGGUGUGGGUACCACAGAAACCUGAGGUCCAGGGGGAAGCUUUCCACAGUGGGACCACCUCAGUGUCUUCGGUCCCCAGGGCACCUACUUUUUCUCCUGACUUCCAGAAGAUGUUCCCAGAGGGGCUGGUCUACGCUGCAAGAGUGGGCCCGCCACAUCUAGGCCUCCACCCCGCCCCCAGCUCUUAAUUUAUUAUUAACUCUGGAACUGACUUUGAAAUUAUGGAAGGCCAUGUUGUUUCUUUCCUCUGCAUCUCUUAUGGUCCCCAAGGGGAGGCGAGCUGAGAGUGCCAGAUACACAAAUAUGCAGCGAAAACCCUGUGGAUUUUUGGUUCUAGCAAGGGGAAGGAAAUUAGCUGUAAUAAGCUGCUGUCGCCUCACUGGAAAGCCUCCAGCACAGACCCUCGGAGGGGCUCCUGGGCCCCCUUCCUCUGCUCUCCCCACUUCCCGGCUGCAUGGCUGAAGAUCUCUGUCUUCAGCUUCCCCUGCAGGGGAGUGGCCUCCUCCCCACCCAGUCCUGUGACAUCACUGAUGGAGAUGAUCAAUAUCCCGGGCCUGUGAGGAGGAGGAGGAGGAGGAGACUGCAGGCACACAGAGAAGUGGUCUCUGGCCUCUUCCCAAGCCAUUAGCUUGAAUGGUGGUAGGAGAGGCAGGUGGGAGUCAAUUUCCAUUCUCCUAGAAUUACUGGAAGGCAGAGGGUUAUUUGGAAGUUUCUGAAAGGUGUGAGGUAUUCAUUGGCCCUCACACAAAAGGAUCAGUAGGCUCUGGUCUUUCCUUUUUCCUCUCCUGAGGAGAGCCAAGGGCUAAAACCCUUAAGUGACUACCCCACAGCAACAGCUGCACUUAGGCAGAAAAUAGCCUGGGCUGUGACUGGAGCCCUGGAAGGAACUAGUUCUAGCCCUUUGCUGGCUAACUUGGCCCAUCCUGAUCUGGCAUUGGGCUUCUCUCUGGCUUCUAAUGCAAAGAACAUAACUCAAUCAAAUGGCAGAUAUGAUGUUAAGCAUUCAUUGAAUUGAGUGGUUAAGUUCCCCCAUAACUUGCUGUGUGACCUCUGGUGAGUCACCUAACCUCUCUGGGCUUCACAUACUUUAUAUGUAAAAGGAGAGCAGGAGUGAGAUGAGUGCACCAUUUCUAAGACCCAGGAGUAAUCAUGCUGGGACACAUGUUUUAUAACCGUGGCCCAAACGCUCUUUCCUUCAUGUCCACCAGCCAAAAUGUUGGGCCUCACUUGCCGGUAAUGCUAUUACAUGGAAGGUUUUACGGCCAACAGGACAGUCAUGAGCUUUCACUACUAAUAAUUAUCUUUGUGAUUUAAAAUUUUAGCAAUAAGAUGGAUUCUUACCAAUAUUACUAUGUAUUAGUCUGUUUUCACAUUGCUGUAAAGAACUACCUGACACUAGGCAGUUAAUAAAGAGAAGAGGUUUCAUUGACUCACAGUUCAGCGGGCUGUAUAGGAAACAUGGCUGGGAGGCCUCAGGAAGGUGCAUGGGAAGCAAGCACCUCUUUACAUGGUGGCAGGAGAGAAAGGGCAAAGGGGAAGUGCCACACACUUUUAACCAACCAGAUCUCAUGAGCCAGCACUAGGGGGAUGGUACUAAACCACUAGAAACCACCCUCAUGAUCCAAUCACCUCCCACCAGGCCCCACCUCCAACACUCGGGAUCACGUUUCAACAUGAGAUUUGGGUGGGGACACAGAGCCAAACCAUACCAUACCGUAUAUUUUUACUUUUUAAAAAACUUCCUAAGAUUUUUCCCUUGGAGAGACAACAGGCUGUAAGAGUGAAGAGUGUGAGCCCAGGAGUCUGUCUGCCUGGAUUUGAAUCCUGGCUCUGCCACCUACCAGCUUUGUUAUCUUGAGGGUGUCCCUUCACUUCUCUGUGCCUCCGUGUCCUCAUCUAUAAAGUGAGAAAAAUGGCUGGGCGUGGCGGUUCAGGCCUGUAAUCCCAGCGCUUUGAGAGGCUGAGACGGGUGGAUCACCUGAAGUCAGUUCGAGACCAGCUUGGCCAACAUAGUGAAACCCCGUCUCUCCUAAAAAUACUGUAGUCCCAGCUACGGGAAGCUGAGGCAGGAGAAUUGCUUAAGCCCAGGAGGUGGAGGUUGCAAGGAGCCGAGAUUGCGCCACUGCACACCAGCCUGGCUGACAGAGAUUCCAUCUCAACAACAACAACGACAACAAAAAGCAGCGGGGAAAAUAAUACAACACAAAGCUGCUGUGGUCUGAAGGGCUUAAAACAGUACCUGGUGCAUAGUUAGUGCAAGCUUACUGAGUGUUGAGUGUUAUUACUGUCAAUGAUAAUAAUAGAAUGCCUUUGAACCCUUCUCAGGAGAAGCAGCCUUUUUAUUUCCUCAUGUUGGCCCCUGCAUCUUUGCUAGAGUGAUCAAUUAGACACAUAUACUUUCUGAAAUUCUGAGGGCACCCAGUGGGAUGAUCUUUAAGGUAUACUUCCA